AUGAGGCGCAGAUGAGGCGCAGAUGAGGCGCAGAUGAGGCGCAGAUGAGGCGCAGUUCAGAGCAGCUGACAGCGGCCGAGUCCGCGGCGCCGACGUCGCUGCUUCUCCUCCUGCUGUGGGUGUUUGCGGAUGAUGCGCAGAUGAGGCGCAGAUGAGGUGCAGAUGAGGCGCAGUUCAGAGCAGCUGACAGCGGCCGAGUCCGCGGCGCCGACGUCGCUGCUUCUCCUCCUGCUGUGGGUGUUUGCGGAUGAUGCGCAGAUGAGGCGCAGAUGAGGUGCAGAUGAGGCGCAGUUCAGAGCAGCUGACAGCGGCCGAGUCCGCGGCGCCGACGUCGCUGCUUCUCCUCCUGCUGCGGGUGUUUGCGGAUGAUGCGCAGAUGAGGCGCAGAUGAGGCGCAGAUGAGGCGCAGUUCAGAGCAGCUGACAGCGGCCGAGUCCGCGGCGCCGACGUCGCUGCUUCUCCUCCUGCUGUGGGUGUUUGCGGAUGAUGCGCAGAUGAGGCGCAGAUGAGGCGCAGAUGAGGCGCAGUUCAGAGCAGCUGACAGCGGCCGAGUCCGCGGCGCCGACGUCGCUGCUUCUCCUCCUGCUGCGGGUGUUUGCGGAUGAUGCGCAGAUGAGGCGCAGAUGGGGCGCAGAUGAGGCGCAGUUCAGAGCAGCUGACAGCGGCCGAGUCCGCGGCGCCGACGUCGCUGCUUCUCCUCCUGCUGUGGGUGUUUGCGGAUGAUGCGCAGAUGAGGCGCAGAUGAGGCGCAGAUGAGGCGCAGUUCAGAGCAGCUGACAGCGGCCGAGUCCGCGGCGCCGACGUCGCUGCUUCUCCUCCUGCUGUGGGUGUUUGCGGAUGAUGCGCAGAUGAGGCGCAGAUGAGGCGCAGAUGAGGCGCAGUUCAGAGCAGCUGACAGCGGCCGAGUCCGCGGCGCCGACGUCGCUGCUUCUCCUCCUGCUGCGGGUGUUUGCGGAUGAUGCGCAGAUGAGGCGCAGAUGGGGCGCAGAUGAGGCGCAGUUCAGAGCAGCUGACAGCGGCCGAGUCCGCGGCGCCGACGUCGCUGCUUCUCCUCCUGCUGCGGGUGUUUGCGGAUGAUGCGCAGAUGAGGCGCAGAUGAGGCGCAGUUCAGAGCAGCUGACAGCGGCCGAGUCCGCGGCGCCGACGUCGCUGCUUCUCCUCCUGCUGUGGGUGUUUGCGGAUGA